rnacentral:rRNA from 1 species
AAGAUGAGAUUUCCCAGUAUGUAAGACCCCUUGUAGACGACGAGGUAGAUAGGUUGGAGGUGGAAGUGCAGCAAUGCAUGGAGCUGACCAAUACUAAUCGGUCGAGGGCUUAUCCAAAA